UUUUAUGCGGAGCACUGAUAUUUGGUGCGAAAGAAUGUCUUGUCAUCAUAGUUAAAGUUGUGGUACUAUUUUAUAAGAUAACAUAAAUACAUACAAGCACCUGUGAAAAAUAACAUUGCAUAGUUAUAUGGGCUGCUAAUAUGUGCACUUAUAGAACUAUAAAUAAACAAUCAAUUAAGUGGUGAUUGACUAAUCUUAUUAACAAUUAUCGCCAGGGACACAUCAUGCUAUGCUAACUAAAUAUGCCAACCUCAAUUAAGGAAUCCCCGAAGAGAAGUAACAAAUGAAAUAAUUUUUAUUAUCUUAACUAUAA
rnacentral:lncRNA from 1 species